CUUAACCCUGCGUAAGACCAGUCCCUCCCGUUUCCGCUUCCAGGAACAGCUCUCUCCCCCCACUUCAGCCUUCUUUGAAGCGGUUUUGCUUGGCGGUAAUCCGGCGCCUCUAUGGCCCGAGGCAACCAGGCCGUGCCGGUUCCCGCCGUGCCGGUUCCCGACGAGCUCCGGUGCCGGCGAUCCGACGGCCGGGAAUGGCGGUGCCCGAGGCGCGCCAUGGCCGGGGUGAGCUUCUGCGAGUACCAUUACCAGCUGGCCCGCCGCAACCAGGCCAAGCACAAGGGGCUGCUCAAAUCGGCCCCCACGCCCCGCCGGAAGCCCGGCCGUCCCCCCCGCUCCCGUCCGAAGCCGCCCGAUCAGCCGCCGAGGAAGCGGCGGAGGAAAGGGGAUCCCCCGACGGAGGGGCUGAUCGCGGUAGCGCUGAGGCGGCAGAUGGAGAGGAGGGAGAAGAAGAAAGGGGAGGCCGAGGGGCAGACAGAGGUGACAAGGGACCUCCCGAAUGGGGUAAUGACCAUCUCCCUGACUCCGGCGUGGGAUUCCGGCAAUGCCGGCCCGCCCUUGGACCGUAAGCUAGGGUUUCAUCAAUAUCCGUUCUUCAGGCGGUACAUCCGGUCCAAGAACGUGGAGCCACUCCCCCUGGGACCCCUGAAGAAAUUUCCUCGUGGUCAGGGUUUGGGAAGUGGACGAAAGAGGACUUGUCAAAGAUGUGGCGAGAGUAAGGUGGUUCGUAAGGUCUGGUGUUCGAGUUGCCGGAAGGAGUCCUGCUCGAGCUGCAUAAAGAAAUGGUACUCUGAGAUGUCUGAGGUGGAAGUAAAGAUAUCUUGUCCCAACAGUUGUGGCUAUUGUGAUUGCAAAACAUGCAUGAAUACUGGAGCUAAAGCUGGUGGGUGUAAGGAAUUUUCAACUGGUCAAACAAACUUCAUCCAAAUUAAAUAUGCCUACAACUUGAUUAAUCAGCUGCUGCCCGUGCUGAAGCAGAUAAGUCAAGAACAAAUUACUGAGCUGGAAAUAGGGGCAAGAAACCAAGAUUGUGGAUUUCGUCUUUGCUAGUCCGUUCUAAUACUGACUUGUGACUACAGUCUAAUGGAAUAUCGAUUUUUGGAACAGCAAUAACUGCAAGAAUUCAAUCAUUGAUUUUCUUCGAAGCUGCUCAAAAUAUCCUUGUAAACUUUGCUUAUGUUGUUGUCAAGAGGUACGUGGGGGAAAAAUACUUUAAAAAGUUGCAGUUGAUACCUUAAAACUUCACAAUAAGAUGAUAGCCGACAAGCGUGCUGGCAAGAUACUUUAUGGAUUGAGGCAAAAACUCUCCAUUAGAGUGCCUCAUAUGUCACCUUUGUCAACUAAACUUUUGUCACCUGACUGGAAAUCUGAACAUAGUGAGGGCAAUAUUUCUUGUCCAUCCAAGGAACUUGGUGGCUGCGGCAAUGGUCUUAUGAAUUUGGUCUUUCAUGUUGCCAUUCAACCGGUCUGAGGAAUUGGAUACAAGUGAUGAACAAAUUGCCAGUGGUUUUAAGUAUCCUGAAAAGUUGGAUGUUUUCUCUCACUAUUUGUCUCAUGUUAAAAUGAACAACAAACUUCGGUAGUUCCAUUCAAGUCUGCAGGAAGCCUUGGCUGCAUAGGUUGCACUGGUGAUUACGUGACAUGAUUUGCAUUAGCGAAGAUCUCAAACACCACCCUACACCGGAAUAAAGGCUGUUCCUAGUAUUUUUCAAAGCAUAAUAUUAACUGCCCAAGUUCCAUGCUUUUCUUGAAAAUCAGUGCCAAUAAUGCUGGUAAAGCUGCAAAAGCUGCUGAUUGCUCAGAUUUGUUGAGGUGAUCCCUUUCUCUCGCAACAUAAAAUUUCUGUUGCUUCGGGGUUGGAGGUAAAAUCUGGGGGAAAUAGCUGUCACAGAAGCUUUUCCUUUUUGCUGCAUUGCUUCAUGGAUGUAUUGUCCCCUUUAUUGCUUUUUAAUCACUUUCACAUAUACCCUUUCAUCUAAAUAAUCAAAUUUCCUGCUACAUAUUUUCAAGUUUUUCCCUCGUUUCUGAGAAAUGCAGGAACUCGUCUUAUAUGCUAUGUCAGUGCCACUUUUCUGCGUGAGUGAAUCUCUGGCAUUAUUGGAGCUGCUUUUCUUAGAAAUAGGAUAUGCAUAAGUUUGUGGCUAUACAAUUAAGAGUUGGGCAACUUCUAUCAGAUGAUCAAGUGAUCGUACAAGCAAAAAUGGCAAGAAAAGAAGUCUCAGAAACUACAAACAGAUGGGCAUGCGCACGCAUUCUGCCAAGCUGCAUGUAGGCAUGAAUGCAUGCUUCCGGUCACACAUGCUAGGAAAGUGGAGCCACGCCCUUAGGUGGAUCCCCAGUGGCAGAAUAUUUGUUGGUGGAAUAUAAUCCUAGUGACAAAAUUAUCAAGUUGCAAGUGGUUGUAUCAUUGGUAGAACAGUUUUUUUUUUUUGUGAUGCAAGGUUUUCAUUAUUUAAGGUUGACAUGGGCAGCUAAUCUAUUUGUGCGAACAUCAUUCUGGCUUUGACGUGGGUUGCAUGUUGAUUGUAUGAGCGAGAGGUUGUUGGGUGAGCACAGAAGAUGUACAAUCAUUUUUCUGUUUCAAGAGAUUUUCAGGGUUGAUGAUAAACUCCCCAGAUCUCAUUCUGGAAGUAGUUAAAUAAAAAGGUGGGUGGUGCCACACAUUCUGCGCCA